UCUUCUUCUUCACCCACCCGACGCCACUUUCCUCCUUGCAACCAAAAUCAAUUUCUUUUUCUUUUUCUUUCCUUUCUUUUCCCUUUCUUUCUUCUCUUAAUUCUUCAUCCUUCUAUUUCCUUUUUUCACCAAAUCCACCAUCCUUCACCCCAUUCUCAUGACAAACGGACUUUAGGAGAGAGAAAAGAAAAAAUUUUUUUUUCUUCUUUUAUUUUCUUCAUUUUCCAUUAUACACCACUUUCAUCACUACCUAAGCUUUUCUAGCUUCAAAUCUACGGUUUUAAAGCCAAAAGGUUCAAUUGUACUUAAGGAUUUAUUUGGAUUAGGAUCUUGUGAAUGCUAGUCUUGUAAGGUGGCAUUAUUAAGGUGAGUGAAUUUGCAUUUAAAAUGUUUUGAACAAAUGUGCAUGCAUUUGAAUAAAGUAUUUGAGUAUUCUUGGUUAA